rnacentral:tRNA from 1 species
GCGGCAGUAGCUCAGUUGGUUAGAGCGUCGGAUUGUGAUUCCGGAUGUCGGGGGUUCAAGUCCCCUCUGCCGCC